CGGCCUCCCAAAGUGUUGGGAUUACAGGCGUAAGCCACGGUGCGAGGCUAGUUCUGUUUUUAAAGGACUCAUGUGAUUAGGUUGGGCCCCCUCAGAUAAUCCAGAAUAAUCUCCCUAUGGUAAGGUUCAUAACCUUAAUUACAUCCGCAAAAUCCCUUCUGCUAUGUAAUGUAACAAAUUCAUAGUGUUUAGGGUGUAGAUAUAUUAGGGGACCAUUCUGGGUACCACUUCAGGUGAACAUUUCUGUGCCAAGAUGGCUAACAGGGGUGAAUGAUAAUGCUAAAUCUGCCCCAAAACAACAAACAACAACAACAACAAAACCAAAAGAAGAAUUUCACUGACAUUAAAUUCUAAAUUUUACCCAUUUCCAGAAGCCUUUAAGGUCCAAGAAACAGGAUAAAGAUCAGAAGUGAGUUAGGGACUAGGAGUAGAAGGUCUUUGAUAUUAUAAGGAGCAUAAUGAAUUGCUCUAGACCAGCAUUUGUGCAAGUGGUAGCUGGAAGAAACCACUGCCAGAAACAGAGUGACUUCAGGGGGCUUAAAGAGAAUACAGGAAUAACAGCAAAUGUCUACUCCCAGGAAUGCAUUUCUAUAACCUGAAAUAAUACUAAAAAACUUUUUUUUUUUUUUUUGACAUGGAAGAACACUGGUGUCAGCUGUUAACUCUCUAGUGGUGGAAUCUUAGGGAGGCCCUGGGAUCUUGGAGAGGGGCAGGGGCAUCCAGGGAGCUGGGGCACUCCAAGGAGGGGCUCUUUACCAAUGGGUCUGGAAGCACAUCAAUAUUUUAACAAUGGGUAAGGGAUGCAGUAAUAUUUAUAACACUGAAUAUUGGAAAUGUAAUCCAAUAACAUGAAUGAGAGUCAACACGCUCACUUAUAGGGAGGAACACUACAGCACAAAUACUUUUGAAUUUCAACAUUUCAUAACGUAUUGAUAGAUUGUUAUUUAUUAAGCAGUUCCACAAAUACUGAACAUUUUGAUUAAUUUCACUUUUUGUAUUAAUAUAGAUCAUCUUCAAGUAGAGAAAUGCAUGUUAAGAAAAUUGGGAAAAAUGCAAGACAUGAUAUCAGAAGGAACACAUCACCCACCUGAGAGUUUAACCCUAUUUGCCUUUGCAUCACUUUCUCAAUUCUCCUAAAGUGUCAAUUUUGUUAUUUGCUGUCUGCCUUAAGGGGACUGUAAUUUAGCUACUCCAUUUUACGUCUUUAUAAUUCUUUCUUAUCUCAUUCAUCUCCCUUUCCAUUUCAUCUUUGGUUUUUCACUUUGAAUAGCCUUUCAUAUAUUUAUUUUUUAGGUCUUUAGAGACCAUUUCUUUCUAGUCAAAGGUAGGGUAAAAUGAAACAUAAUUUUAGUCAUACUUAAUUAGACUUUUAAAUCUGAUGGUACACUCUGCCUGAAGCUUUUCAGGGGGGAAUUUCUGAGGUCCAAUUACAGGGCUAGUCUCAUAAUAAGAACUAAUAAUUCAUAAUGAAAUUAUUUGCUUUUAAACCUCAUCCAGACGCUGUUGUGAAAAAUAUACUAACCCAACCACAUUCCUAUAGGGUCAUUAACACGGCCAGUACAAACAGGUGAGGUCUGCUGAAGUCAUAGUUCUCAGAGCUUCUGUGAAGAGCUGGAUGUUGGUUCUGUGACAGUAUCACUACAGGGCAACCCUUUCAUACCAGUCCUUUCAUAGUAUGGCAUCCUGUUCUUGAUGUAUGGAUUUUGAUAUCCUUCUCAGCUCAGGUAAAUGCCCAAUGGGUAUUUAACAAAUAUACAAAUAGAAACUGAAUCCUUGCAUCACUAAACUUUGUGUUGCCUUCACACAUUAAGACAACUUAGCUGAAAAUAAAGUUCUUGGGUUAUAGACUUAGCCCCCAACAAAGUUGUAGAAUUUUCCCUAUUCUCCUCUGGCUUUGGUUCAACAAGAGAGAAGUCUGAGGCCAGCUUGAUUUUCUUUCCUUUGUGUAUAGCUUUAAUAGAAACGUAUUUUAUCCUUGUAGGUUCUUUUCUUUCUCCCUGCAAUUCAAACAUUUUUCCAAAUGUGCUCCACGUCAAUCUUUGGAGUGAAUUCCAUGGAUUGUCUCCCCUUUCACCUUGUAGCACAACACUGAUGUUCUUCAAUCUACCAUCUAUCUGAUAAGCAAAUUCCUUUGUUCCGGUCUCAGUCACUGGUUCCACUGCAGGCCCACAUCACAAGCAGCCCUAAGAAUGCAUCUCAGGGCUCCUGUUUGAAAUCCUGACACAGAAGAACGUACUCUUUAUCUGAGUAUCCUGCAGGGCAGAUGUGAAACCUGGAACUACUGUAACCGCUUUGCCAAUGAAUGAAAACAGCCUUUGAAGAUGCCAAGACAUAGAAAAGGGAAUGUUAGAGAAAUGGAGCUGCAGCUUCUGGAUUAAGCCAACCCUGAUGCUCACCUAUCUCUGGAAUCACCGUUUAUAUCUGGAAGUAUAUCGAGGGGACUAUCUUUGGGAGUUUUGGAGAAGUACAGGAAAGACAAUGUUCACAUUUUAUACUUCUGUAUUAACAUUAGGUGUUUUUACAACCAGACUAUGUUAUUUUACUUUUUCGUUUAAAUUUUUUUAAAAUUAAAUAAAACUAACAGGCAUGGAAAUCUCCUACUUUGAUCCUUCGUACAGCAAUUUUUGUUUCUUAAAGUGUCACGUGGAGUGAAAGAUCACAGAGACAAUGAGGCUCCCCAGGUGCAAGCAUUUUUUAAAGUAAGGACAUAUUGAGGAUGAUCCACUAGUGUCGAUAAACACUUUAUACUUGCAAGUUUGAGCUCAAGCACCAUUAAUUCAGGAGAAGAAGGCCAGGCAGCUGCAUCAAUAUCAGCUUGGCUGGUUUUACAUGCAAGGGCCCCAACAUCUAUAGCCCCUACACAACCAGAAAAGAAGACAAUGUGGGACACAGAAGAAUGAGACUUCAAUGAGAAGGGCACUGACUUAUUUUCUCCCCUCUUCCCAAUAAAUGGCAAGUUGUCUCUGUUUCUUCUUUAAUUUAUCCUUUUAUUUGAUGACUUAGACCUGCAUUGUCCAAUCAGUACAUGUGGCUACUGAGCACUUGAAAUGUGCUGAAAAAAGUCUGAACUGAGAUGUGCUGUAAGUGUAAAAUACACAUUGGAGUUUGAACAGUUAGUAAAAAGAAAGAAUGUAAAAAUAUCUCAUUCAUCCAUAUAUUUAUAUUCAUUACAUGUUGAAAUGAUAACAUUUUGGAUGUACUGUGGUAAAAAAAAUAUAUUAUUAAAAGUAA
rnacentral:lncRNA from 1 species